AAUGCAUCGCCUUUCUUCCUUUUCAAUGAGAACAAAUCCCUAAUCUCCUUCUCUAUUAACUAACCGGCAACCACAAAAGCGGCGACGAUCAGUCCAGUCUUCACUCCAGUCAUCAGUGCUCACGACCGAGUAUUUAAUCAGUUCAUUUGUCGGUGAGAAGACGUCUCCUAUAGGUUAUCUCCAUGAAGCCGGCAAGCUCUUCGCACAAAAUAAUUGUUAUACUAGGCAUCUGGCGAAGAUUUUGAUUCACUUAUCAUGGUGUUUGCAAAGGUGUUUUUCGAAUUCUGCUGCACCUUUGGAGGUUUAUGCGAAGGCUGUUAAUGCGGUUUACAUUUCAUCUGUUUUUUUGAAGUAUUUAAUUGAAAAUGCUCAAAGCAAUAAUAGCAUUGAGGAGUUGUAUUUGUCAUUGAAUGUAAGCGAACCAUCAUCUAAUGAUUUCAACACAGGAAAAAAAUCUAAUGGCGAAAUGGGUGCCAAUAAGCUACAGUUUUACUCUAUAAUUGGAAACUAGAUCUGCAUUAAGGUUAUGCAAAGAAAUGCAAUUGUCAUAGAAGUUUCUGAAAGUUUAAACAAGUCCAAAUAUUUAGGUGAAGAACUGCUGAACUCCUGCCUUUGUGGUUGGCUAUACAUCCUCAAACAGCAGAUUAAUUAUGGAAAGGAGGUCAAAAGAAAGUUAGAUUUGAACUUUUGGACUUUCAACGAAUAAUUUCAGGACAGAUCUUGGUGUUUACUGAUAGAAUAUAUUUAUUCAAGCCCUAAGAAUGCCAAUUGUGUACUAUAAACUCUCUGCUUUCAGUUCCAUUGAAGUUUUUGUUUGACAGCUAUGCUUUCCAGUACAUGUAAAUCAUUGU